CCAAGGCUAGUUCGUCACUGUCCCGUAGCAGGUUCAGGUGCUCUGGGGUUGUUGGUUCUUCACCGCUUGGUCGGUUGAGGUGCUGGCUGUUGUUCCCCAGGUAGUGGUUUGGGUGUCAUCUGCAGUGUGCGGUUGUUCCAGGUGAAGUCCCAGUGCGGACAAGAAUGCCAGGGCCCCCAUCGGGGAGGUGAGAUUGUGGGUGGUCUCUGCGUGAUGGACAAGUAAGGAGCCGGUGUUACCCCAUCUAUAUGGUAUGUUGGCUUUGCGCUGGACAGUCAUCACUGGACCAAAAGAUUUGCGUCUGAGUAGUGUGGCCCUGGUUAGGUCUUGGAAAAACAAUAGUUUGGUGUUCUCAAAUUCUAGUGGCAUUUUGCCUUUC